rnacentral:rRNA from 1 species
GGAAAGAUAUAAAGUGGCGCACGGGUGAGUAACACGUAGGUAAUCUACCUUUGAGUGGGGAAUAACUUAGGGAAACUUAAGCUAAUACCGCAUAAUGCAGCGGCAUCGCAAGAUGACAGUUGUUAAAGGAGCAAUUCGCUUAAAGAGGAGCCUGCGGCAGAUUAGCUAGUUGGUAAGGUAAUGGCUUACCAAGGCUACGAUCUGUAACCGACCUGAGAGGGUGGUCGGUCACACUGACACUGAAUAACGGGUCAGACUCCUACGGGAGGCAGCAGUCGGGAAUUUUGGGCAAUGGGCGAAAGCCUGACCCAGCAACGCCGCGUGAAGGAUGAAGUCUUUCGGGAUGUAAACUUCGUAAGAAUAGGAAGAAUAAAUGACGGUACUAUUUGUAAGGUCCGGCUAACUACGUGCCAGCAGCCGCGGUAAUACGUAGGGACCAAGCGUUGUUCGGAUUUACUGGGCGUAAAGGGCGCGUAGGCGGUUUGUCAAGUCAGCUGUGAAAUCUCCGAGCUUAACUCGGAACGGUCAGCUGAUACUGUCAAACUAGAGUACAGAAGGGGCAAUCGGAAUUCUUGGUGUAGCGGUGAAAUGCGUAGAUAUCAAGAGGAACACCUGAGGUGAAGACGGGUUGCUGGGCUGAUACUGACGCUGAGGCGCGAAAGCUAGGGUAGCAAACGGGAUUAGAUACCCCGGUAGUCCUAGCCCUAAACGAUGAAUGCUUGGUGUCUGGAGUUUUUAAUCUCUGGGUGCCGCCGCUAACGCUUUUAGCAUUCCGCCUGGGGAGUACGCACGCAAG